rnacentral:rRNA from 1 species
UGGGCAACCUGCCCCUCUCUCUGGGAUAACCCCGGGAAACCGGAGCUAAUACCGGAUACUCCGGCUGGAUCGCAUGGUCUAGCCGGGAAAGGUCCGCCGGAGAGGGAUGGGCCCGCGGCCUAUCAGCUUGUUGGUGGGUCAUGGCUCACCAAGGCGACGACGGGUAGCUGGUCUGAGAGGACGACCAGCCACACUGGAACUGAGAUACGGUCCAGACCUCCUACGGGAGCA